rnacentral:rRNA from 1 species
CUUAACCUGGGAAUGGCAUUCGAUACUGGUCAGCUAGAGUUUGGUAGAGGUAAGCGGAAUUCCGGGUGUAGCGGUGAAAUGCGUAGAUAUCCGGAGGAACAUCAGUGGCGAAGGCGGCUUACUGGACCAAAACUGACGCUCAGGCACGAAAGCGUGGGUAGCAAACAGGAUUAGAUACCCUGGUAGUCCACGCCCUAAACUAUGUCAACUAGCCGUUGGGUCCCCUUAAUAGGACUUAGUGGCGAAGCUAACGCGUUAAGUUGACCGCCUGGGGAGUACGGCCACAAGGUUGAAACUCAAAGGAAUUGACGGGGGCCCGCACAAGCGGUGGAGCAUGUGGUUUAAUUCGAUGCAACGCGAAGAACCUUACCAGCCCUUGACAUCCUCGGAACUUGGUAAAGAUACCUUGGUGCCUUCGGGAACCG